UUGUUCUGAGGAUACAGGAAACUGGGAGGUGAUAGGAGCUGAGAGAACUGAAGUGUACUUAUUUGUACAAAAUUCAUGCAGUGGCUGCGUCAGGGAGGCUUCAGGAAAAUAUGCCUGAUACUGGAGGUCCUGGAAGAUUCUUGGAAGUUGGUCUUAGUGUAGAAUGGAGGAGGCAAUUAUCUGAGACAAAGCCUGGAACAUUGAAAGCAUAGUAGGAAUUGUGAGGUUGUGAGAUGUGGGACAAACUCCAAAACAGUGGGACAUGAGGAAAGAGGAAGGAGGAGUACUGUGAGAUACUGCAAACUCAGAAAUACAUGAAGAUGAGGACGUAGCUGUACAACAGCCCAAAGCAGAACAAUUUGGGAUCACUGAAAAAGGAGAAUGAAGAGAUGGGAAGAAUUGCAGUGAAAGAGGAACACAAAUUAUUAUGUCUCAGGUUGGCUUCGAACCCACUGUCGUCUAUGUGAGUAUUGCAAUAGAUCACAACUUCCAUUGCAAAAGGAACUAAAAGACAGUUGCCCUUUCCCUGUGCUCUUAAGGUCGGAUAUGGGGGAAGAAAACCAUGAGCAACCCAACCCUGAGCAGUCAGCCCUGGCCCAAGAUCUGUCUGCUGCCUCAGUCUGGACUCGGUUUGGGAAAGAACUGAGUGGACUUUGGCAACAUCUUCUGUCUUGGUCCAACUCUUGACCACAGGGUGUACAAUCCUUCUUCCCCUAAGUGCCUCCACACAGACGUAACUCUGCUCAUAACCUGAACUCCUUUCUCUGCCCCAGUCCCAGGGUUCUGGACAAUGUGGGAGGGGUAGGGAAUGUACAAAGGGGGUAGACAUGGUGGUAGCAAAGUAGGAUUCUCAUAACACUCUGUUCUCUCAACUUCUCAGAAUCCCCAGGGUGCCCUAGGGGUGAGUAUUUCCACACUCAAAAAGUCCUUCUUACCACCCCACACAAACAGCUCCUGGGUUGUCUCUGCUUUGCACUACAUGGGAUAAAGAGCACCAGGAGCUCCCGGGCAGCCCCACUACAGCUCUGUUUUUCUUGCAGAACCCUAUCAGCUUUGAUGGGAAUCAAGUUGGCUGGACAGAACUUCAGUCAUAAUGGCAACAGCUUCGAGACACCAGUCGUCUAUGACUCCUGAAUAUUUUCCAUCUGAUUUCAAUCUAUAAUCCUAAAUCUACCCUGAUGAUGAAGAAUUUCGCUUAGAAAUGCAGAGAUCC
rnacentral:lncRNA from 1 species